AAAUGCAGCUGGCCAUGUAGCUGAGAAAGUGCAAGGUCCUCCACCCUGAAGGCUUUCCUCCUGGUGGAAAUCUUAAAGGACCAGCUUUACUUCAACAAUACUGACACUGAUUGAAGACUACGUUCACAAAGGCUGAACAUCUUACAGAUAACUUCACCAGAGCAACAUUUAUACAUUUUUCUUUGCAUCUUGGAGAACCUGCCACAGAUCUUCUAGAGACUAUGACUCAUAAUUGCUUCUGUUUCUGCAGACACUAAAGAAACUGUCUGGAUGCCUAUAUAAGCUGUCGACUUGAAAUUUCUGUUUCCCCAAGUACCAAGAACACUGAA
ensembl:lncRNA